CCCUAAGUUUCCAGUUCCAGCAGCUAUAUGGCUCUUUUUUCAUGUUUCACACACAUAAGACAUUGACAAAGGCCCUAAAAAGAAGAGACACGGGAGGCAGCCAAAGAGAUACCUAACACUCAAUCAGAGCCAUGCAAGUGAGGAGAGCAUUAGGAGUUUUUGGGAGCCAGGCCAAGUGUUUUUCUACCAGAGGAAUAAUUUAGGGUUUGUGCGCAGUCAGCAGCUUGGAAAAGGUACAAGAACACAGGAGCUGGACAACCGGGAGGCCCCGGAAAACCCGCUCAGCCCUGCCAAAGUCCACCAGACAGACAAACCCUUCACGGUCAAGACUGUUAAGCAAAGGAGGAUUCGUUUCUUCCAUCCAUCAGGCCAGGAGAAUAAUUACAAGUAGAACAACAGAAACAAAGGAUGUGACAAGGAUGCCGUUUGCCCUGAUGGCACAGAAGCAACGGCAGUAAGAUCGCUGGCCCCUGAGCACGAUUCAAGACAGCAGUUACCGUAUUCUGGCACCAAGCACUACCUCCAUCUCACCAUGAAACCCCAGGACCUGCUGGUUAAGGCCUGUUUCAUAUUUAAGAAGGUCUUGAAACACUAGAGACUCCAUGUUGAUAUUCGAUUGGACAUACAAAGCACUUUGGCUGCCCUCCGAGGGUGAUGGUGGUCCAGUCCCCUCUUUCCAUGGGACACCUUCUUUACUGCAAAGACAGCUACCAACUGUGGUUACUCAGACUCAGGUAUUUGCCAAGACUUUCUUGAAAAUGAACCUGCCACUUGAUGGAAAAUAACUGCGUUUUUAUUGCCAAUGAGAAAAUUCAAGCUUUCAAGUGAAAAAACAGAAUUUUAGAAAACUUAUCUUCCAUGAACUUGACAGCCCUAAUAAAGGUGUUUAUGAGAUUGAUGGUGA